UNUUUACAAUGGGCCGCAAGCCUGNUGAAGCCACGCCGCGUGCGGGGAUGAAGGCCCUCUGGGUUGUAAACCGCUGUCGAGGAAGAGGGAACCGCUGCAUGUGAAUAGCAUGCAGUCUGACUGCUUUCUGAAGGAAGCCCCGGCAAAACAUGUGCCAGCAGCCGCGGUAAUACAUGUGGGGCAAGCGUUGUUCGGAAUUACNUGGGCAUAAAGGGUGCGGUAGGUGGUUUGCUAAGUCAGGGGUGAAAUCCCGCGGCCCAACCGUGGAACUGCCUUUGAUACUGGCGAACUUGAGUGCGUGAGGGGUAACCGGAACGAGCAGUGUAGCGGUGAAAUGCGUAGAUAUUGCUCGGAAGGCCAGAGGCGAAGGCGGGUUACUGGUACGCAACUGACACUGAGGCACGAAAGCGUGGGGAGCAAACAGGAUUAGAUACCCUGGUAGUCCACGCCGUAAACAAUGGGCACUAGAUGGAUGUCGAGCUAUCGAUGUCUGUCGGAGACAAUUUGGUAAGUGCCCCGCCUGGGGAGUAUGGUCGCAAGGCUGAAACUCAAAGAAAUUGACGGA
rnacentral:rRNA from 1 species